rnacentral:rRNA from 1 species
ACUUCCAAUCCGUGAAAUUGACCUUCCCGUGAAGAGGCGGGAAUAUGACAAUAAGACGAGAAGACCCUAUGGAGCUUUAAUUAACCGACCCAAAGAGAUCUUGAUAAUCAACCGACAGGGAUAACAUACCUCUACCAUGGGCCGACAAUUUAGGUUGGGGUGACCUCGGAGAAUAAAACAACCUCCGAGUGAUUUAAAUCUAGACUAACUAGUCGAAAGUACUACAUCACUUAUUGAUCCAAAAACUUGAUCAACGGAACAAGUUACCCUAGGGAUAACAGCGCAAU